AGGCCAGUAGCUCGAACUGGUAGAGCGGCAGACUCCAAAUCUGCGGGUUGGGGGUUCGAAUCCCUCCUGGCCUGCCA
rnacentral:tRNA from 1 species